CAGUCAUGCUAGUGAGGAAUCAACUUGAUGGUGUGUGGGUUCUCUCGCAUACUUUCCGGUGCACUUCCUCGCUCGGCAGGUUAGCAUCAAUUUCGGUUAUCAAUAAAAAUUUGAGGAAUGUGGCUUUCCGUUCGGGAAAGUGUUAUAGACCUCGAUCGAUGGUGGU
rnacentral:rRNA from 1 species